rnacentral:siRNA from 1 species
UCCGAACAUCUCACAAGGGCGG